rnacentral:tRNA from 1 species
AGGAGAUUAAGUUAAAGGUAGACCGGUAGCCUUCAAAGUUUUUAGUGUUGGUUCGAUUCCAGCAUCUCUUG